rnacentral:tRNA from 1 species
UCCCUGGUAGCUCAGAUGGUAAAGAAUCUGCUUGCAAUGCAGGAGAUCCAGGGUCCAUCCCUGGUUGGGGAA